AAUCGCGUAGAGCAAGUGGCAACACCCGCAAGCCUUCUAAGCUGCAAAUCCGGGGUUCGAAUCCCCGCGGGCCCGCCA
rnacentral:tRNA from 1 species